GAUGAACGCUAGCGGCAGGCCUAACACAUGCAAGUCGAGCGGGAUUAGUUAGUAGCUUGCUAUUAACUAUGAGAGCGGCGCACGGGUGCGUAACGCGUAUGCACCCUACCUUAUACUGGGGUAUAGCCCGGAGAAAUUCGGAUUAAUCCCACAUAGUAUUAUCGAUUCGCAUGUUUUGAUAAUUUAAGGUUACGGGAUAAGAUGGGCAUGCGGCCUAUUAGCUAGAUGGUGAGGUAACGGCUCACCAUGGCGACGAUAGGUCGGGGGCCUGAGAGGGUGGUCCCCCACUCUGGUACUGAGACACGGACCAGACUCCUACGGGAGGCAGCAGUGAGGAAUAUUGGUCAAUGGGCGAAAGCCUGAACCAGCCAUGCCGCGUGCAGGAAGACGGUCCUAUGGAUUGUAAACUGCUUUUAUUUGGGAAUAAACUCUGAUACGUGUAUCAGCCUGAAGGUACCAAAUGAAUAAGCACCGGCUAACUCCGUGCCAGCAGCCGCGGUAA
rnacentral:rRNA from 1 species